GCACAAGUACUUUAGCACAAUAUUUCAAGAGUAAACUGCAGAAUAAUCCUCAGUACAAGCUAAAGGAUAUGAGAAAAGACUUGAAAGAUCAGUUCAACUUGAAUGAUAGUACCUCUAAGUUGAAAUGAGCCAAGAGGAUGGCCCUUCAAAAAUUGCAGGGAAGUUUCUUAGAUGAUUUCAACAGAAUUGAGGCUUAUGCAAAUGAGCUUAGGCUAAGCAAUCCUGGUAGUGAUAUUGUGAUCAAUUUAUCAAAGGAUGCAUUGGAACAAGGUAAAAGAAAGUUCCUUAGGAUGUACAUCUGCUUUAAUGCUCUGAAGUUGGGAUGGAAAGAAGGUUUGAGACCCUUUAUUGGACUAGAUGGGACCUUCUUGAAGGGUCAAUGCAAGGGACAACUUUUGGUGGCUAUGGCACAAGAUUCUCAGAAUUGCUUCUAUCCAUUGGCAUGGGCUGUAGUUGAUAAGGAGACAACUAGGACAUGGAUAUGGUUUCUACAACUGCUGAACAAUUCAUUAAAUUUGAAAGAUGGUCAAACUAUCACCUUUAUGUCUGAUAUGCAGAAGGUAAAUAAUUUUUUCUGUUUAUUUGAAUAAUUUUGUCUUCUUUAUAUAACAGUUUGUAACUGUAUAUUUGCUUAUUUGACAUGUACAGGGACUGAUAAAUGCAGUAAAAAAUGUCCUUCCUUUGUCUCACCACAGGUACUUUAAGUUGCUUUAAUUAUUUUGUUCUCUUGAACAUAUUAACUAACUAUUCAUUUUUACUGAUUAUAGGUACUGUGUUAGGCAUAUUGAGGCCAACUGGAUGAAGAGAUUUAGGUCAGGAGAGAUGAAGAAACUGCUUUGGUGGGCUGCUUGGAGUACUUAUGAGGAAGAUUUCAAGGAUCAGUUGAGUGCACUUGGUGCAUUGUCAAAAAGUGCUGCCAAAGAUUUGCUUAAGUAUCCACCACAGACAUGGUGUAGGGCAUAUUUGGUUACUAUAUGCAAAAAUCAAAUGGUGGAUAAUAAUUUCACAGAGUCUUUCAACUCUUGGAUCCUGGAAGCAAAAGGUAAGCCAAUCCUAAAAAUUCUUGAAGAUAUAAGAAUCAAGAUAAUUAACAGGUUAAGAGAGAAGGAAGAAGAUGCAAGCAAAUGGACUACUGAUUAUAAAAGUUCCUUAGGAUGUACAUCUGCUUUAAUGCUCUAAAGUUGGGAUGGAAAGAAGGUUUGAGACCCUUUAUUGGACUAGAUGGGACCUUCUUGAAGGGUCAAUGCAAGGGAC
rnacentral:lncRNA from 1 species